CAGGUGCAGAUCUUCUUGGAUACCUCCUAGAGUCCUGUCUCCACUUUGGGCUUCCUUUUUAUCCAUCUGAACACACACAUGAAAGAAUAUCAGGCAACCCAGUGCUGUAUGAAAUCUGCUUUCCACCCCCACUAUGUCAAGUCAGCACCUCCAGCUUCUCAUGAUUAUGCUGUGAUCUCGUGCUGAUCGAGAGCAAGAGAUAAUGGCAUAGCUGGGAACUAGAGUCCACCUUGUCGAGUCUGAAUCCAGUUCUGUCUCUGGCUAUCUGUGUGACUUUGGGCAAGUCACAACUUCUCUGAGCAUCAUCUAUCUGAUCUGUAGCAAUGCCUUAUGGUGUUAUCUUGAUGAUCUGAUGAGAGGAUGUGUAUGUACAAAACAGGUGAUAGUUUCUUUCUUUCUUUUUUUUUUAAUCUUUUCCCUGAUUGGCAGGAUGUAUGCCUUUGAUUAACAGAUACCGAGAAAACAAAUUUCUUGCUAUGCUCUGAGAUUCAACACGUAAGCAGAAUUGAGAACACCAAAUUCUGUUUGAGGGGCAGAGGUCUAAGAAGGCUUCAUAGAGGAGGUGAUGAUGGAGCCAGGCCGUAUCAGGUAAGUAGGAGUUCCUGAGAUAGACAAGGGUGUGUGAGGCGAAGGGAGCACCAUAGGCAUGCAGGUGUGAUGGAGGUUGGUGUGCCCCAGACCAGCGAGCAGCUUGGGCUGGUGGGGCUUUUGCUGGAUAAGAAUCAGCACUGUGAGGUUGAGAUAGAAGGAAGCCUUGCACCCUCCUCCUGAAGAGGGUGGGAGCCAUGGAAGGGACUGAGCAGAGCAGUGAAAUGACUACAUCUGUGUUUUCUAAAGAAUACAUUGCCAUUUGUCAUCUUUAAAGUUGAUCCCUCACUGGUCCCCUCUGAUCCAAUCACAGGUGAAUUUUCGAAAAACCAAGUCUGGCCGAGUGUGGUGGCUCAUGCCUGUAAUCCCAGCAGCUCAGGAGGCUGAGGCAGGAAGAUCGAGAGUUCAAAGCCAGCCUCAGCAAAACCCGAGGCACUAAACAACUCAGUGAGACCCUAUCUCUAAAUAAAAUACAAAAAAUAGGGCUGGAAUUUGGUUCAGUAGUCAAGUGCCCCUGAGUUCAAUCCCUGGUACAAAAAAAAAAAAAAAAAAAACCUGACCAUUUUAUCCCCCCGUUU
rnacentral:lncRNA from 1 species